GAUGAACGCUGGCGGCGUGCCUAAUACAUGCCAGUCGAGCGAACAGACGAGGAGCUUGCUCCUCUGACGUUAGCGGCGGACGGGUGAGUAACACGUGGAUAACCUACCUAUAAGACUGGGAUAACUUCGGGAAACCGGAGCUAAUACCGGAUAAUAUAUUGAACCGCAUUGUUCAAUAGUGAAAGACGGUUUUGCUGUCACUUAUAGAUUGAUCCGCGCCGCAUUAGCUAGUUGGUAAGGUAACGGCUUACCAAGGCGACGAUGCGUAGCCGACCUGAGAGGGUGAUCGGCCACACUGGAACUGAGACACGGUCCAGACUCCUACGGGAGGCAGCAGUAGGGAAUCUUCCGCAAUGGGCGAAAGCCUGACGGAGCAACGCCGCGUGAGUGAUGAAGGUCUUCGGAUCGUAAAACUCUGUUAUUAGGGAAGAACAAAUGUGUAAGUAACUAUGCACGUCUUGACGGUACCUAAUCAGAAAGCCACGGCUAACUACGUG
rnacentral:rRNA from 1 species